GACGAACGCUGGCGGCGUGCUUAACACAUGCAAGUCGAACGAGAGCGUAGAGAAAGCUUGCUUUUUCUACAAUCUAGUGGCAAACGGGUGAGUAACGCGUAAACAACCUGCCCUACGGAUGGGGACAACAGCUGGAAACGGCUGCUAAUACCGAAUACGUUCCGAAAGUCGCAUGACUAUCGGAAGAAAGGAUGGCCUCUAUUUAUAAGCUAUCGCCGGAGGAGGGGUUUGCGUCUGAUUAGCUAGUUGGAGGGGUAACGGCCCACCAAGGCGACGAUCAGUAGCCGGUCUGAGGGGAUGAACGGCCACAUUGGAACUGAGACACGGUCCAGACUCCUACGGGAGGCAGCAGUGGGGAAUCUUCCGCAAGGGGCGAAAGCCUGACGGAGCAACGCCGCGUGAGUGAAGACGGCCUUCUGGUUGUAAAGCUCUGUUAUACGGGACGAAUAAUCUUGUGGUUAAUACCCAUGAGAAGUGACGGUACCGUAAGAGAAAGCCACGGCUAACUACGUG
rnacentral:rRNA from 1 species